GGGCUCGUAGUCCAGCGGUUAAGACGUCGCUCUCACACAGCGAAGAUCGCCGGUUCGAAUCCGGCCGAGCCCA
rnacentral:tRNA from 2 species